rnacentral:tRNA from 1 species
AAGGGAGACCUAAUUCAGGUAGGAGACGAAAAAAAAGUAGUCCCUACCAGGAAUCAAUCCCAAAAGGUCGGAGCGAGGCGAAAUUGGCUUUCAAACUAGGUUCUGGGUUCAAACAAGACCUGAAUCAGGAACAAGGGCUAUUAGCUCGGGUGGUUAGAGCGCACCCCUGAUAAGGGUGAGGUCCCUGGUUCGAGUCCAGGAUGGCCCACCUGCACAGGUGGCAAAAACAAGAGAAGCGAGGAAUCAGCACCUUAUCUUACUGACAUAGUAAGAGAGAAUGCUGGCUCUGAGUAAAGAGUCCAGAGGAACCUUGAAAACUGCAUAGAGCUAGGUGAAAAAGCCAAAAAAGAAGACCGCAA